AUAAACCGCAAAAAUUAAAUCUUAAAAUGAUUCAAUUUACUCUGAAUAACAUAGUUAUAUAUAAUGCUAUGUUUUUAAGACAUGAUAAAAAUAAUAAAACUAAUGAUAUGAUUGAUUUGAUUAAAAAAGGUAUAUAUAAACAAAGGCUAAAGAAAUAUAAUGAAGCAGAAGACAUAUUACAUAUGGCUCUUGAAAUUGCUAUAAAUAACAAUGAUGAGAAAACUAUAACAUAUAUAUAUGAUAUACUUGCAAAUAAUUCAUUUGAAUCAAAGGAUUUUAAUAAGGCUGAAGUAUUAUUCAAAGAAGUUUUGAAAAGAAUUUCCAUGAUGGAAAACAACUCGCAUGAUACUAAUGCUUUCGUAGAUGUAUCUCUAAAAUUGGCUGAUAUCUACUUUUAUAAAGGGGAUUACACCAAAGCUGAAACUGGAUACAAAUUUUGCAUUGGGCAAUUAACAACUAUAUUGAGCAAAGAAAGCCUGGUUGUAAUAAGCAAUAACACUAGUAGCCAAGACGAAAUUUUAAAUCACGACACCAUCCAAUUAUUAGGAAUGUGUUAUCAUCAUUAUUCGAAAUUUAUUUUAGAACAUUAUAAUAGUUUUGAUUAUACAACGAAAGCUAUCGAAUAUCUUUUGAAGUCUAUCGAAAUCGCUAACAGUGUCAUACAAUCUCAUAUAGACUUUUCUUCUUAUCACAAUGACAAAAUCGAUAAUUUAUUAUAUAAAACAGACUAUUUCAAUAUAGAUAACAAAAACGUUUUUAACCCGUUGGUAUAUACCCUUCAUAAUGAUUUAGCAUACGCUUACGAAAAAAUUAAUAAUAUGGAUGUUGCCAUGCAUGAACUUGAAUAUGCCAUUAGCGGGAUCAAAGAUAUCCGACAUAUUUACUCAGAGAGAUUGAAUCAAUGUAUUAAAUCUUAUGAAAAACAACGACUUAGUGCUUUUAUUUUAGAAAUGGACGAACAUCUUGUUACUUUUUACAUGAUAUCCAACCCUCUCCUGGCCUGGAUAUUGGGCUGAUUAAUAUUUCUCGCUAACUUACUGUUGGAUCUCAUUUAUGGUAACCGCGAAAAUUGCGCGAUAUCGCUUUCCAUUACUACGCAUAAAUAAAUGCAAAACCAAGCAAAUAAAGGGGUGGAUUUAUGGUAGUUUUAGCGAUGUGAAGAGGCGAAAUGCUCCUAUAAAUAAGCUGUUAUCGCUUAGUGAUACUACUAGCUCUUCUAAGUUUCGUCGCGGUUGCUGUAAACCGGCUCCUAAUCUUUAAUGCAAUUAUGGUUAAAGUUUAGCGCCAAAUUCCCUAAUAAAUUUAUCAUUCGAUCCAUAAAUAUAAAAGAAAUCUAGGAAUGAUUUUCUUAAACAAAUCGAUGCCUCUUGAAUCUGAGAAGAAAUGCUCAUUGGCACUUAAACUAGCUACUAUUCUAAAAAACGGAGACCUAAAACAUAGAUCCCAAC